rnacentral:lncRNA from 1 species
AAACCCUUUCUUUAGACUUUCUUGCUUAUCAUUGUAAAAUUAACUUAAAGUCUCCUCUAUUUAUUAAAUAGAGGUAACACAAGAAAAAACAUAUUAGACAAUGUGGGGCUUGAUGAAAUUUGUAUUGGUGGUCUCUAAUUAUAAAAUAGAGGUAAGAUAAGAGAACACAUAUUAGACAAUGUGGGGCUUGAUGAAAUUUGUAUUGGUGGUCUCUAAUUAUAAAAUAGAGGUAAGAUAAGAGAACACAUAUUAGACAAUGCGGGACUUGAUGAAAUUUGUAGUGGUGGUCUCUAAUUAUAAAAUAGAGGUAAGAUAAGAGAACACAUUAGACAAUGUGGGACUUAUUGGUAAUGUGCUAUCCUUUGAUUCUUGUAGGAAGUCCUUAGUGAAGGCCUUAAUAGUUGGUGGUCCCCAAGUCUCACAUUAGUUAAUCAGUAAAAGUCCAAGGAAGUUUUCUUUAUAAAAUGACUACCAAGUGUAGCUUAACUAAUGACUACCAAGUCUUGGGAUGCUCUUGCCCCCACAUUAGUUAAUUGGUAAAAGUCUAAGGAAGUUUUCCUUAUAAAAUGACUACCAAGUGUAGCUUAACUAAUGACUACCAAGUCUUGGGCUGCUCUUCCCCUUGG